AAGAAGCGGGAAUGGGGAGUGACUGGAAGCUUCUGGGUGGGACUGAGGGGGGGCGGGCUGGACUGGAAGCCUUGCAAAAGUGCAGGCCUGGAAUCUGACCCCUCUGCUUGUGUCCCCCAACUGGACCUCAGCGCCCCCCGUCUUCUCCUCGCCAUGAGGCCUCAGCAGGCGCCUGUGUCCGGGAAGGUGUUCAUCCAGCGAGACUACAGCAGUGGCACACGCUGCCAGUUCCAGACCAAGUUCCCCGCCGAGCUGGAGAACCGGAUUGAUAGGCAGCAGUUUGAAGAAACAGUUAGAACUCUAAAUAACCUUUAUGCAGAAGCAGAGAAGCUUGGGGGCCAAUCAUAUCUUGAAGGCUGUUUGGCUUGUUUAACAGCGUACACUAUCUUCUUAUGCAUGGAAACUCAUUAUGAAAAGGUUUUGAAGAAAGUCUCCAAAUAUAUUCAAGAACAAAAUGAGAAGAUAUAUGCUCCCCAAGGCCUCCUCCUGACAGAUCCCAUUGAAAGAGGUCUUCGAGUUUUAGAUUGAAAUUACCAUUUAUGAAGACAGAAGCAUGAGCAGUGGAAGAUAAACCAUAAAUUAAAGAUGCCACCUCCAGACGGGACCCUCAGCUAUCCACUGGCUGAUCACUGAGUGUUCCCUACCUCCUCUCCAGAGCAUCAUUCCUUUGUAUCUGCUGCCAGAGCCAAGGUGCCAUUUACUCCAAGGACUAACUUUCUAAAAUUCCACACCUGGAGUGACCUCUAGUCACUAAGCAUCCACUUUGUGUCUCCAAAUUGUGCAAGACUGUAAUCUUUUAUUUUCUGAGAAAAUACAUUGAAGCAUUUCAUUUUCUAAAUUCAAAA